rnacentral:rRNA from 1 species
UGUAGGUUUGUGCCGAGGCUGGCUGGAUAGUGUUGGUGGUAAGCUUGAUCCUGAAGUGUUGGGGGUAAACGUGUGUCAGGUGUGUUCAUAAGUCUGAUGUGAAACCCAACGGCGCAACCGGGGAGGGUCAUUGGAAAGUGGGAGACUGGAGUGCAGAAGAGGAAAGUGGAAGUCCAUGUGUAGCGGUGAAAUGCGUAGAGAGAUGGAGGAACACCAGUGGCGAAGUCGACUUUCUGGUCUGUAACUGACACUGAGGCGCGAAAGCGUGGGGAGCUAACAGGAUUAGAUACCCUUGUAGUC